rnacentral:rRNA from 1 species
UCAGAGUACGUGAAACUGCUUAGAGGUUAAGCCCGAUGAACCUGAAUAUCCAUUAUAGAAAAUUCAUCAUUAUGAUUUUAAUAUUAAUAAUAUUAUAAUAAUGGUGUGCAUUUUUUCUAUAAAAGGACAUUGUAAUCUAUUAACAUAAAAUUAUAUUUAUCAUAAGAUCAAUUUCGCGUAAGUUUAUUCAAAUUAUUUUGCUUGCAAUUUAAUAUCGAAUAAAUGCAUUUGAUUUGAUAAAGUGUUGACAGAUUUAUUAUAUAUAGUGCUUAAAUAUAUAUAUAUUUUAUAAUAGCAUAUUAAUCAUUGAUUUUUAUGUUUAUUUAUAUGCACUUAUAUGAUUAACAAUGCGAAAGAUUCAGGAUACCUUCGGGACCCGUCUUGAAACACGGACCAAGGAGUCUAACAUAUGUGCAAGUUAUUGGGUAUAAAAAACCUAAUAGCGAAAUUAACAUAACUUAUAUAAUGGGAUUAGUUUUUAGUCUAUUUUUAAUAGUCUAUUAAUUCAAUCCCGGGGCGUUCUAUACGGUUAUGUAUAAUAAUAUUUAUAUUAUUUAUGCCUCUAACUAGAGCGUACCUUGAGCAUAUAUGCUGUGACCCGAA